UACGGAGGGGGCAAGCGUUAUUCGGAAUCACUGGGCGUAAAGGGCGCGUAGGCGGCCUGAUAAGUCGGGGGUGAAAGCCUGUGGCUCAACCACAGAAUUGCCUUCGAUACUGUUAGGCUUGAGACCGGAAGAGGUAAGUGGAACUGCGAGUGUAGAGGUGAAAUUCGUAGAUAUUCGCAAGAACACCAGUGGCGAAGGCGGCUUACUGGUCCGGUUCUGACGCUGAGGCGCGAAAGCGUGGGGAGCGAACAGG
rnacentral:rRNA from 1 species